UACGGGGGGAGCAAGCGUUGUUCGGAUUUACUGGGCGUAAAGGGCGCGUAGGCGGCCUCUGCAAGUCGACUGUGAAAUCUCCGGGCUUAACCUGGGAACUGCAUUUGUGACUGCAAGGCUGGAGUGCGGCAGAGGGGGAUGGAAUUCCGCGUGUAGCAGUGAAAUGCGUAGAUAUGCGGAGGAACACCGAUGGCGAAGGCAAUCCCCUGGGCCUGCACUGACGCUCAUGCACGAAAGCGUGGGGAGCAAACAGG
rnacentral:rRNA from 1 species